rnacentral:rRNA from 1 species
GACGUAGGGCGCGAGCGUGUCCGGAUUUAUUGGGCGUAAAGAGCUCGUAGGCGGCUUGUCGCGUCGACUGUGAAAACCCGCGGCUCAACUGCGGGCCUGCAGCCGAUACGGGCAGGCUAGAGUUCGGUAGGGGAGACUGGAAUUCCUGGUGUAGCGGUGAAAUGCGCAGAUAUCAGGAGGAACACCGGUGGCGAAGGCGGGUCUCUGG